rnacentral:rRNA from 1 species
CCUACGGGAGGCUGCAGUGGGGAAUAUUGCACAAUGGGCGCAAGCCUGAUGCAGCCAUGCCGCGUGUGUGAAGAAGGCCUUCGGGUUGUAAAGCACUUUCAGCGGGGAGGAAGGCGUUAAGGUUAAUAACCUUGGCGAUUGACGUUACCCGCAGAAGAAGCACCGGCUAACUCCGUGCCAGCAGCCGCGGUAAUACGGAGGGUGCAAGCGUUAAUCGGAAUUACUGGGCGUAAAGCGCGCGCAGGCGGUCUGUCAAGUCGGAUGUGAAAUCCCCGGGCUCAACCUGGGAACUGCAUUCGAAACUGGCAGGCUAGAGUCUUGUAGAGGGGGGUAGAAUUCCAGGUGUAGCGGUGAAAUGCGUAGAGAUCUGGAGGAAUACCGGUGGCGAAGGCGGCCCCCUGGACAAAGACUGACGCUCAGGUGCGAAAGCGUGGGGAGCAAACAGGAUUAGAUACCCGUGUAGUC